GACGAACGCUGGCGGCGUGCUUAACACAUGCAAGUCGAACGGAAAGGCCCUGCUUGCAGGGUGCUCGAGUGGCGAACGGGUGAGUAACACGUGGGUGAUCUGCCCCUUACUUUGGGAUAAGCCUGGGAAACUGGGUCUAAUACUGGAUAGGGCCAUGCUGUAGGUGGUGUGGUGGAAAGAUUAGUUUCGGUAAGGGAUGAGCUCGCGGCCUAUCAGCUUGUUGGUGGGGUAAUGGCCUACCAAGGCGUCGACGGGUAGCCGGCCUGAGAGGGUGGACGGCCACAUUGGGACUGAGAUACGGCCCAGACUCCUACGGGAGGCAGCAGUGGGGAAUAUUGCACAAUGGGCGCAAGCCUGAUGCAGCGACGCCGCGUGGGGGAUGACGGCCUUCGGGUUGUAAACUCCUUUCAGCCAUGACGAAGCCCUUGUGGUGACGGUAGUGGUAGAAGAAGCACCGGCUAACUACGUG
rnacentral:rRNA from 1 species